rnacentral:lncRNA from 1 species
ACUUAAGAGAAAGCAGGUUAAGUGCGUAAAGUGGAGUUGAGAGUCUUUAUAAUUUGCAAACCAAUACGCACAUUCAUUCAUUUUCGUUUUCAUACAGAUCUAUAGCAAUAGUCCUUGAGUUCUUUCAUUUUCAUGGCAGAAAACCUCGUUCACGGAUGCUAGCAAUGGUGUCAAAGAGAGUUUGUUCAUAAGGUAUGAAUCCUCCUAUUAGCUCUGUAGUUUUCUUGUUCCCAAUCUUCUCGGGGGGGAUUCCAUCGUAUCUUCCGGCAUGAGGAAUUCCAAUGCUCGUUUCAGAAACACCCCUACCCAUACAAAUCUCAUUACGCUUUGAACAAAACUGAACAAAAAGGAAUGAAAGUAAACUCACUCGUGGGCACAGCAGCGAAGCUCGGGGAACUUUUCCUUGACCGAUUUCAGGACGUCUCUGUGGGAAACGCUCAGUGCAACGCAAAAGUAGCGCCCCAAAGCAGCCUCGUUCUCGACUGCCAAAAUGUGAGCUUUUGCAACAUCUCUCACGUCCACGAGAGGAAUGUAAGAACUUGGCGAAGGAUUCCGGGAACCUAGAUUAUCACAAACAAGAUAAAUGUCUGUACGAGAAAACCAAGGAAACAACAGUCAAACCUUCUACAACUUCCUUGAGAUAUUCGCUGCUAGUGUUGAGGGUUUGUUGCAAGAGAGGACCAAACACGUAAACCGGGCACACCACGAGAAGUUUGAGCCCUUUCUCUUCGGCAAACUUCCAUGCCGUCUUCUCCGCCUCGGUCUUGGCAACCAAGUACCACCGCUGCAAAACGAAGUCCAACGCACAAGAGUCAAGAGUCAAAUUAAGUCCAAAGCAAGUCCCAUUUAGUUGCCUCGUUUUUGCGGCAGUGGUCAACGUUCGUCCAGCAGCGCUCAUCAACCACCUUGUCCUCGGGACGAUCGGGGUCAAACAUGACCGCUGCGCCGGAGGAAGUCAUCACCACUCGCUUGAUCUUCUCCUCGCUGCAAGCACGCAUCACAUUCUCCGUUCCAGUGAUUGCUGGGACCAACACAUCCUGGCAGAAAACAAAACUCGAAAUUUCUCAUCGCCCACGAGCAAAACCAGCUAGAUUCUUACAUCUGGGGUGUCAAACUUCCAGAAGAAGGGGCAGGCUGUGUGGAAGACGGCCUCACAGCCCCGGACUGCUGGGACAAUGGAAUCGUAGUCGAGAACAUCGGCUUUGAACAGCUUGAGCCUCUCCCCAGCUCCUGGGAGCUGCUUGAGAUGUCCACACUUCGCAUUGUUACCUGAUGAUUGGGUCAUUCAGAUUUCGGCUAUGGAUCAAAGGUAAAAGGGAGAAGUCUAUGCUUACUUGGGUCGCGCACGGUGCCGUGAACAGUAUAGCCUUUCUCCAGAAGCUGCUUUACAAUCCAAGAGGCAAUGAAACCCCCGGCUCCAGUCACACACACGACCUUCUUGCUUUCUUCCAUUGCCAUGCUCUUUGCUCUAUUUGCUACUUAUUUGCUCUAGCUUGCGCUGCUGUGUAUUUAUACACUCUAUCAAGUCUUCAAGAAUUUCCGCUUGCCUUCUGAGGAAGCAUCCUGGAGCGCUGUGGCGUCGCAACUGGAGCACUAUGGCGCCGGUCUCUAGGCUACUGUUUAACUUAAUUGAUUUUCUAUAGAUAGAUGGGGACGCUAUUAAGCGUGCUAUUUACCUAUUUAUUGUGGCUAAGUCAGAUGUCUGCAUCAUGUUGGUGGAGUUUUUGUAAAGUAGCAAUAGGCUCUUGCACCUUUUGCAGCUACUAUACUAAUUUCAGGUUAGAAUGGCGCUUUGAAGUUGCUGGUGGUGCGACGGUAGCAGCAAGGGAGGGUUCAAUUUUCAACCUUCUCUUGUAUUUUUACAUCCUCCGAAGACUAACACGUCGCACUCCACUAGGGCAUCCAACUCACUUGGACAAUUCCAUAACAAGAGCAAAAUAUAAGAGCUGCGUUCUCUUUGAGGAAGCAAGAACUUAAGAGAGAGAAGGUUAAGUGCGUUGACUUCACUCCUAAAGUGGAGUUGAGAGUCUUUAUCUUUUGCAAACCAAUAUGCACAUUCAUUCAUUUUCGUUUUCAUACAGAUCUAUAGCAAUAGUCCUUGAGUUCUUUCAUUUUCAUGGCAGAAAACCUCGUUCACGGAUGCUAGCAAUGGUGUCAAAGAGAGUUUGUUCAUAAGGUAUGAAUCCUCCAAUUAGCUCUGUAGUUUUCUUGUU